AGCCUCGAGGUGUUCACACAUCAAAAUGCAAGUUUGAAGUAGGACACUAAGGUGUCCCGGGGCUUU
rnacentral:tRNA from 1 species